rnacentral:rRNA from 1 species
UACGAAGGGUGCAAGCGUUACUCGGAAUUACUGGGCGUAAAGCGUGCGUAGGCGGUUUGUUAAGUCCGCUGUGAAAGCCCUGGGCUCAACCUGGGAAUUGCAGUGGAUACUGGCAAGCUAGAGUGCGGUAGAGGAUGGUGGAAUUCCCGGUGUAGCGGUGAAAUGCGUAGAGAUCGGGAAGAACACCGGUGGCGAAGGCGCUCUACUGGACGGUAUCUGACACUGAGGGACGAAAGCUAGGGGAGCGAAUGGG